rnacentral:rRNA from 1 species
GGGUUGUGAGGUUAAGCGACUAAGCGUACACGGUGGAUGCCCUGGCAGUCAGAGGCGAUGAAGGACGUGCUAAUCUGCGAUAAGCGCCGGUAAGGUGAUAUGAACCGUUAUAACCGGCGAUUUCCGAAUGGGGAAACCCAGUGUGACUCGUCACACUAUCAUUAACUGAAUCCAUAGGUUAAUGAGGCGAACCGGGGGAACUGAAACAUCUAAGUACCCCGAGGAAAAGAAAUCAACCGAGAUUCCCCCAGUAGCGGCGAGCGAACGGGGAGGAGCCCAGAGCCUGAAUCAGCAUGUGUGUUAGUGGAAGCGUCUGGAAAGGCGCGCGAUACAGGGUGACAGCCCCGUACACAAAAGCGCAUAUGCUGUGAGCUCGAUGAGUAGGGCGGGACACGUGGUAUCCUGUCUGAAUAUGGGGGGACCAUCCUCCAAGGCUAAAUACUCCUGACUGACCGAUAGUGAACCAGUACCGUGAGGGAAAGGCGAAAAGAACCCCGGCGAGGGGAGUGAAAAAGAACCUGAAACCGUGUACGUACAAGCAGUGGGAGCCCCACCACUAAGCCAGUGGUGAACUCCACAUACGCAUCCUUUGCUGAGGAUACGGUUAACGGAGCGAAAGCGACGUUCAACCUCAAAAGAAGCAGAGGGGGCUUAGUGGUGGGGUGACUGCGUACCUUUUGUAUAAUGGGUCAGCGACUUAUAUUCUGUAGCAAGGUUAACCGAAUAGGGGAGCCGGAGGGAAACCGAGUCUUAAUUGGGCGUUAAGUUGCAGGGUAUAGACCCGAAACCCGGUGAUCUAGCCAUGGGCAGGUUGAAGGUUGGGUAACACUAACUGGAGGACCGAACCGACUAAUGUUGAAAAAUUAGCGGAUGACCUGUGGCUGGGGGUGAAAGGCCAAUCAAACCGGGAGAUAGCUGGUUCUCCCCGAAAGCUAUUUAGGUAGCGCCUCGUGAAUUCAUCUCCGGGGGUAGAGCACUGUUUCGGCUAGGGGGCCAUCCCGGCUUACCAACCCGAUGCAAACUGCGAAUACCGGAGAAUGUUAUCACGGGAGACACACGGCGGGUGCUAACGUCCGUCGUGAAGAGGGAAACAACCCAGACCGCCAGCUAAGGUCCCAAAGUCAUGGUUAAGUGGGAAACGAUGUGGGAAGGCCCAGACAGCCAGGAUGUUGGCUUAGAAGCAGCCAUCAUUUAAAGAAAGCGUAAUAGCUCACUGGUCGAGUCGGCCUGCGCGGAAGAUGUAACGGGGCUAAACCAUGCACCGAAGCUGCGGCAGCGACACUCAGGUGUUGUUGGGUAGGGGAGCGUUCUGUAAGCCUGCGAAGGUGGCCUGUGAGGGUUGCUGGAGGUAUCAGAAGUGCGAAUGCUGACAUAAGUAACGAUAAAGCGGGUGAAAAGCCCGCUCGCCGGAAGACCAAGGGUUCCUGUCCAACGUUAAUCGGGGCAGGGUGAGUCGACCCCUAAGGCGAGGCCGAAAGGCGUAGUCGAUGGGAAACGGGUUAAUAUUCCCGUACUUGGUGUUACUGCGAAGGGGGGACGGAGAAGGCUAUGUUGGCCGGGCGACGGUUGUCCCGGUUUAAGCGUGUAGGUGUGUGUUCCAGGUAAAUCCGGUUCACUUUAACACUGAGGCGUGAUGACGAGGCACUACGGUGCUGAAGCAACAAAUGCCCUGCUUCCAGGAAAAGCCUCUAAGCAUCAGGUAACAUCAAAUCGUACCCCAAACCGACACAGGUGGUCAGGUAGAGAAUACCAAGGCGCUUGAGAGAACUCGGGUGAAGGAACUAGGCAAAAUGGUGCCGUAACUUCGGGAGAAGGCACGCUGACACGUAGGUGAAGUGAUUUACUCAUGGAGCUGAAGUCAGUCGAAGAUACCAGCUGGCUGCAACUGUUUAUUAAAAACACAGCACUGUGCAAACACGAAAGUGGACGUAUACGGUGUGACGCCUGCCCGGUGCCGGAAGGUUAAUUGAUGGGGUCAGCGCAAGCGAAGCUCCUGAUCGAAGCCCCGGUAAACGGCGGCCGUAACUAUAACGGUCCUAAGGUAGCGAAAUUCCUUGUCGGGUAAGUUCCGACCUGCACGAAUGGCGUAAUGAUGGCCAGGCUGUCUCCACCCGAGACUCAGUGAAAUUGAACUCGCUGUGAAGAUGCAGUGUACCCGCGGCAAGACGGAAAGACCCCGUGAACCUUUACUAUAGCUUGACACUGAACAUUGAGCCUUGAUGUGUAGGAUAGGUGGGAGGCUUUGAAGUGUGGACGCCAGUCUGCAUGGAGCCGACCUUGAAAUACCACCCUUUAAUGUUUGAUGUUCUAACGUGGACCCGUGAUCCGGGUUGCGGACAGUGUCUGGUGGGUAGUUUGACUGGGGCGGUCUCCUCCUAAAGAGUAACGGAGGAGCACGAAGGUUGGCUAAUCCUGGUCGGACAUCAGGAGGUUAGUGCAAUGGCAUAAGCCAGCUUGACUGCGAGCGUGACGGCGCGAGCAGGUGCGAAAGCAGGUCAUAGUGAUCCGGUGGUUCUGAAUGGAAGGGCCAUCGCUCAACGGAUAAAAGGUACUCCGGGGAUAACAGGCUGAUACCGCCCAAGAGUUCAUAUCGACGGCGGUGUUUGGCACCUCGAUGUCGGCUCAUCACAUCCUGGGGCUGAAGUAGGUCCCAAGGGUAUGGCUGUUCGCCAUUUAAAGUGGUACGCGAGCUGGGUUUAGAACGUCGUGAGACAGUUCGGUCCCUAUCUGCCGUGGGCGCUGGAGAACUGAGGGGGGCUGCUCCUAGUACGAGAGGACCGGAGUGGACGCAUCACUGGUGUUCGGGUUGUCAUGCCAAUGGCACUGCCCGGUAGCUAAAUGCGGAAGAGAUAAGUGCUGAAAGCAUCUAAGCACGAAACUUGCCCCGAGAUGAGUUCUCCCUGAGACUUAGAGUCUCCUGAAGGAACGUUGAAGACGACGACGUUGAUAGGCCGGGUGUGUAAGCGCAGCGAUGCGUUGAGCUAACCGGUACUAAUGAACCGUGAGGCUUAACCUUACAACGCCGAAG